UACGUAGGGACCAAGCGUUGCUCGGAUUUACUGGGCGUAAAGGGCGCGUAGGCGGUCAGCACAAGUCAGUUGUGAAAUCUCCGGGCUUAACUCGGAAAGGUCAACUGAUACUGUGCGACUAGAGUGCGGAAGGGGCAACUGGAAUUCUCGGUGUAGCGGUGAAAUGCGUAGAUAUCGAGAGGAACACCUGCGGCGAAGGCGGGUUGCUGGGCCGACACUGACGCUGAUGCGCGAAAGCCAGGGGAGCGAACGGG
rnacentral:rRNA from 1 species